rnacentral:tRNA from 1 species
GAAAUAUAAAAUCAAAAAAAAGCUUCUAACUUUAUUUUUAGCGGUGAAAUUCCGUUAAUAUUUCU